rnacentral:rRNA from 1 species
CAGUCAUACCAACGGGAAAUCAACCUAUUGAGCUUGGUCUCGUGGGUUUUGAAGAGUUUCAAAGCCUUCGGAUUCGCGGGAUUGGGGAUCUCUUGGUGUACUUAUUCGUGUGGUAAGUUAACAUCAAUUUUGGUGAUCAUAAAAUGACUAGAGGAAUGUAGCUUUGAUCUCGUAUCGAAGUGUUAUAGACUCUGGUAGAUGUGACGAUUGGGGAUUGAGGAUUGCAACGGAUACCCCCUUCGGGGCUACCCGUCUGAUCUCUGAAGGUUGCUCCGGUGCCGAAAGCGUGCUUACGGUCAU